GACGGAAGCGUUUCGCGCCAAGCGUUUCUGGAAAAGAAAAAGGAAAAGCCAGAGGGUCAGCAGAUGUUGAAGGAGGUAUAAUCAAGUCCAUACUCCAUUAUACAGAGAGCAAACCAAGACCUGGAGAAAUGAAGGGAUUGAUCAACGUCAUACAAAUGAGUGGUUGGAAACCUGGAGCAGAACUCCAUCAAGUUUUCUUUCUUUUGCCUCAAGCUGCCUUUAGUUUCUCAUGAUUUUAUGUGUAUCCAGUGCAAACAUUUGUUAGCAUUUGACAAGAAAUGAGCAUAAAUAAGCAUAUUUUGGGG